UACGUAGGUGGCAAGCGUUGUCCGGAAUUAUUGGGCGUAAAGCGCGCGCAGGCGGUCCCUUAAGUCUGAUGUGAAAGCCCAUGGCUCAACCGUGGAGGGUCAUUGGAAACUGGGGGACUUGAGUACAGAAGAGGAAAGCGGAAUUCCACGUGUAGCGGUGAAAUGCGUAGAGAUGUGGAGGAACACCAGUGGCGAAGGCGGUCUGCUGGGCAGUUGCUGACACUGAGGCGCGACAGCGUGGGGAGCAAACAGG
rnacentral:rRNA from 1 species